CGGGGGAUUGAAAAUCUCUCCUCGUGAGGAAUACGCUUUCCAAGGCGGUCAAAAAGGUGGUAGGCUUCUAUAGGAACAAAUACAUCUUCAAUAGUUGCAUUUGUCCACUCAUGAAGGCCCUUCCGAAGCGUAGCGUAUUUACCUUUACAUGACUUGAAUGGAUGUCCUACAGGUCCCACAUGGAUUUCAUUACACCACCCACAAGCAUGCACAGGCACCACUUUCAACAAUUUCUUGAGAUUGUUAAUCAUGAUAAUCCUCGC
rnacentral:misc_RNA from 1 species